AUUGAACGCUGGCGGCAGGCCUAACACAUGCAAGUCGAACGAGUGGCGGACGGGUGAGUAAUGUCUGGGAAACUGCCUGAUGGAGGGGGAUAACUACUGGAAACGGUAGCUAAUACCGCAUACCAUCGGAUGUGCCCAGAUGGGAUUAGCUAGUAGGUGGGGUAAAGGCUCACCUAGGCGACGAUCCCUAGCUGGUCUGAGAGGAUGAACAGAGAGAUUGGAACUGAGAAACGGUCGAGACACAUACGGGAGGCAGCAGUGGGGAAUAUUGCACAAUGGGCGCAAGCCGGAUGCAGCCAUGCCGCGUGUAUGAAGAAGGCCGUCGGGUUGUAAAGUACUUUCAGCGGGGAGGCGUUACCCGAAGAAGAAGCACCGACUAACUCCGGGCCAGCAGCCGCGGUACUAC
rnacentral:rRNA from 1 species